GAAUCAGGCUAGUCUGUCCCCAACCUCAUACGGGAAUAGUAGUGCGCGUCGGAAAAGUAAAAGUAAAUUGAAAAAUUGACACAGUUUAGUAAAGAAGAUUUCUCUAGUAGUGCUGUUCAGAAAGUUAGUGGUCGAAAGUUAAAAGUGCUAGUUCGACAAAAUAGCAAUAGUACGGGAAAGAUUAAAGCUAUUGUAGUACGAGUACGUUUGACCACAAUUGUGAUAAGAGAUUCAUUUGUUAUAAAAAAAACCAUCAAACUCAAAAAGGAAAAGGUCCGUAUAGGGGCCUUUUCUUUUCUUUGUGCUUGGCAGAGUAAUACGGAGUUCGGUGGCCUUCUGUAGCAGUGCACGUGUUUCCCGUUCGUCGAAUCGAGGUCUGUGACAGACGUUGGGUCUUCCUUCGCCCUGCAAGCGGCCAUUUUGUCAACCCGGUGGCCCAAGGCCGGCCGACUAAUCCGCCAUCGCUGUGAGCCAAACGUGCGUCGAUCUCGUGGCCAUUCAUCUACUUCGGUGUCACACCGCAAGCACCUUCGUCUUCUGCCGAGCCAAGGAACGGUUCGAUUACCUCGUCCCGGAAGCUGUCCGAAGCCACAUUCCGACCUCUACAGACUAUCAUCGAGUCGCCACCAACGGCAAGCAACCGACGGAGGCUAAGGAACGAACCGCACAUCCCUUCUACGGUGAGAGCAGCCCACGAAGAUACCGGAGGCGAACCAGUAAGCAUUCCGUGGCCCUCGCUGUACCACGGCGUGCCGAAGUCUCAACACUACAACGAACCAGACCGAAAAGCAGCCCGGCCAUCGAAAAGUCGGACCCCUGAAUGCCAGCAGCUACCUACCACCAACCGCCCAGUAAUCGCAUGCAAUCGUCAACCGAAACUCGAUGCCCGAGGAGACCAGAAAGUGAUGAGUACCCCUAUGUUGUAGUGACGUCACAGUAGAUAAGGCCGAUGUAGGCCAAUAAAUAGCAUGUAAAACCGAAAUCUUUGUGUAGGUAGCAU